ensembl:snoRNA
UUGAGUGUGAUGAAUUUUCCAUGUCUCUUCUCUGACUGUUACUGGAGAAAGAUUUAGUUUCUGAUCUCAG